rnacentral:rRNA from 1 species
GAUGAACGCUGGCGGCGUGCCUAAUACAUGCAAGUCGAGCGAACGGACGAGAAGCUUGCUUCUCUGAUGUUAGCGGCGGACGGGUGAGUAACACGUGGAUAACCUACCUAUAAGACUGGGAUAACUUCGGGAAACCGGAGCUAAUACCGGAUAAUAUUUUGAACCGCAUGGUUCAAAAGUGAAAGACGGUCUUGCUGUCACUUAUAGAUGGAUCCGCGCUGCAUUAGCUAGUUGGUAAGGUAACGGCUUACCAAGGCAACGAUGCAUAGCCGACCUGAGAGGGUGAUCGGCCACACUGGAACUGAGACACGGUCCAGACUCCUACGGGAGGCAGCAGUAGGGAAUCUUCCGCAAUGGGCGAAAGCCUGACGGAGCAACGCCGCGUGAGUGAUGAAGGUCUUCGGAUCGUAAAACUCUGUUAUUAGGGAAGAACAUAUGUGUAAGUAACUGUGCACAUCUUGACGGUACCUAAUCAGAAAGCCACGGCUAACUACGUGCCAGCAGCCGCGGUAAUACGUAGGUGGCAAGCGUUAUCCGGAAUUAUUGGGCGUAAAGCGCGCGUAGGCGGUUUUUUAAGUCUGAUGUGAAAGCCCGCGGCUCAACCGUGGAGGGUCAUUGGAAACUGGAAAACUUGAGUGCGGAAGAGGAAAGUGGAAUUCCAUGUGUAGCGGUGAAAUGCGCAGAGAUAUGGAGGAACACCAGUGGCGAAGGUGACUUUCUGGUCUGUAACUGACGCUGAUGUGCGAAAGCGUGGGGAUCAAACAGGAUUAGAUACCCUGGUAGUCCACGCCGUAAACGAUGAGUGCUAAGUGUUAGGGGGUUUCCGCCCCUUAGUGCUGCAGCUAACGCAUUAAGCACUCCGCCUGGGGAGUACGACCGCAAGGUUGAAACUCAAAGGAAUUGACGGGGACCCGCACAAGCGGUGGAGCAUGUGGUUUAAUUCGAAGCAACGCGAAGAACCUUACCAAAUCUUGACAUCCUUUGACAACUCUAGAGAUAGAGCUUUCCCCUUCGGGGGACAAAGUGACAGGUGGUGCAUGGUUGUCGUCAGCUCGUGUCGUGAGAUGUUGGGUUAAGUCCCGCAACGAGCGCAACCCUUAAGCUUAGUUGCCAUCAUUAAGUUGGGCACUCUAAGUUGACUGCCGGUGACAAACCGGAGGAAGGUGGGGAUGACGUCAAAUCAUCAUGCCCCUUAUGAUUUGGGCUACACACGUGCUACAAUGGACAAUACAAAGGGCAGCGAAACCGUGAGGUCAAGCAAAUCCCAUAAAGUUGUUCUCAGUUCGGAUUGUAGUCUGCAACUCGACUACAUGAAGCUGGAAUCGCUAGUAAUCGUAGAUCAGCAUGCUACGGUGAAUACGUUCCCGGGUCU